CUCGUUCGCUUCUUUGAACUUAGGGCUAACUCUAACUCGCUUCUUUUGACUCACAAGCCAAAACGAUCUCUAUGUGCAUCGCUGAUCCGCCUUUCAGGCCGUAGAUUGAAUAUUUAUUGGAAAAAGCUUUUUGAUCAAAUUUCUAUACCUUACUCAAGACAAGGACAGCUACUUAACCACAAGGAAUGAUUUUUCGCAUGAUCUAUUGACAUUUUGGCAAUGUCGGGUUUACUUAAUUCUUCGCUAAACAGUUCAGCUUCAAAUGUUCCAGACAGUACUGGACGUUCUUUUACAACUUCUUUCUCUGGCCAUUCUGGUGCGGCAUCUCCUGUUUUUCAUCAUACUGGAACCAUUCAAGGGCUGCAUAACAUCCAUGGGAGCUUUAACGUUCCCAACAUGCCAAGUACACUUACAUCAAGAAAUUCUACAAUAAGUAAUGUU
rnacentral:misc_RNA from 1 species